AUGUAUCACUGUAGGGGGUAGAGCACUGUUUCGGCUAGGGGGUCAUCCCGACUUACCAAACCGAUGCAAACUCCGAAUACCUACAAGUGCCGAGCAUGGGAGACACACGGCGGGUGCUAACGUCCGUCGUGAAAAGGGAAACAACCCAGACCGUCAGCUAAGGUCCCAAAGUUAUGGUUAAGUGGGAAACGAUGUGGGAAGGCUUAGACAGCUAGGAGGUUGGCUUAGAAGCAGCCACCCUUUAAAGAAAGCGUAAUAGCUCACUAGUCGAGUCGGCCUGCGCGGAAGAUUUAACGGGGCUCAAACCAUACACCGAAGCUACGGGUAUCACCUUAGGGUGAUGCGGUAGAGGAGCGUUCUGUAAGCCUGUGAAGGUGAGUUGAGAAGCUUGCUGGAGGUAUCAGAAGUGCGAAUGCUGACAUGAGUAACGAUAAUGGGUGUGAAAAACACCCACGCCGAAAGACCAAGGUUUCCUGCGCAACGUUAAUCGACGCAGGGUUAGUCGGUCCCUAAGGCGAGGCUGAAAAGCGUAGUCGAUGGAAAACAGGUUAAUAUUCCUGUACUUCUGGUUAUUGCGAUGGAGGGACGGAGAAGGCUAGGCCAGCUUGGCGUUGGUUGUCCAAGUUUAGGGUGGUAGGCUGGAAUCUUAGGUAAAUCCGGGAUUCUAAGGCCGAGAGCUGAUGACGAGUGUUCUUUUAGAACACGAAGUGGUUGAUGCCAUGCUUCCAAGAAAAGCUUCUAAGCUUCAGGUAACCAGGAACCGUACCCCAAACCGACACAGGUGGUUGGGUAGAGAAUACCAAGGCGCUUGAGAGAACUCGGGUGAAGGAACUAGGCAAAAUGGCACCGUAACUUCGGGAGAAGGUGCGCCGAUGGAGGUGAAGCAUUUACUGCGUAAGCCCCUGUCGGUCGAAGAUACCAGGCCGCUGCGACUGUUUAUUAAAAACACAGCACUCUGCAAACACGAAAG
rnacentral:rRNA from 1 species